GGGGCCAGUAUUGCAUUUACUUUUAUCCCAUUUCUGUUUUCACGGCUACCCAAGAGGAAAUAAUUUGAUUUGGGGCUGCAGGGGGUAGGGUGGAAAAGUGCAGUCGGAAGACAGAGAAAAUCAGCAAGAAGAUUACUGAAAGGGAAAGAGGGGGAAACCAACCAGCUAUAUAUUUCCUGCAACAUGAGUUAAUGAAAUUCCGUUCCUUCUUACACAGCUGUAUUCGGUUUGUUUUACAUUGUUUGGUAUGUGAAAGGAUUUGGCUUUGCGUUACAGAACUAAUUGCUUACUAGAUAUUACAUGGAUAUCAAAAUACUUUAUAAAUAUUAAUUAAUCUUCACCUAAUUCCCUGGCAAGCACAAAUAACCAGUGGCAUAUUUAUUGAAUGUGUAAGCAAUAAUCUGAUUCUUAAAGAUUUGUUUUCUCUGCUG
rnacentral:lncRNA from 1 species